GACGACAAGCUCGCCAAGUUUGCGCUCCUCGACCCCAAGCCAUCAAUAGGUGAGCAAGUGCUAUCCGCGAACAGCUUUCGCGCGCUGUGACUUGUGCCGGCUCCGGCGGUAAACAAGACAGACAAGGAGCAAAGGAGGCGUUCAGUUUCUCAGGCACUUGCUGCCUCUGCUCCAUCUGUUCAGGUAACCUGUCUUUAUCUUCUUCUAUUUAUAUUUUUUGACCAAGCAAAUCUUUUUUACCUGCUAGCGGAACUAGGUGUGAUCUCACUGGCAUGGUCUAUGAAGAGAGAUUUCAGCUCUGAACAUCUCCUUUUUCCCUUUAUUUCAAAUAUGUGAAUGUGAUAGACUUCUUUUAUACAUACAUAUUCAGUGUUGACUAGCAGAAUUUUGUGGGGAGGUGGUUAUAAUUUUGUGCAAAUUCUUAGAUCCUCGAUUACUCAUUCUUUGUAAAUGUGCCAUCAUUUCCAAUUAUUAGUUGAAUCUUUUUGUUAUGUAUAUUCUCAUGUUCACAUUUUUCUGUUAACCAUUAGCAGCAAAGAACUUCAAAUAAGUCCGAUACCGAGCAUUUGAAGUACCUUGAAGUGCUUGAG
rnacentral:lncRNA from 1 species